UCCGUCCCCUUCCUCCGCCGCCCCCGCCGCAGUGCCCGGCGGAUGCUGCCGCUCCGGUGGACCAUAUCCCCACUUCUGAUGGAUUUCGGUCGUCCGUGCGCUCCUGUGGCAGGCCGCGGCCUGCCGUCUCCGGUAGCUCACCGCCGGCAGCGGCCACCGCAUCGACAGGUUUGAUUCGCAGGUACUCCAAUCAACUAGAGAUUCGUGUAUCCUCCUACCAAUCAACUACUCGUGCAAGGAUUCUGAGCGCUGGGCGGCGAGGCGAAGAGCUUGAGCCUACUGAGCUCAGAGCAAUAAUCCAGAGGGGACGCACCAUGUGAUUGGCACGGUUUUCGUUCCUGCUCUAAGCUGAUGUAUAUGCUCAUGCUGCGACACCAGAUCACCUGCAGCACUGGACCCUGGAGGGGCACUGGGGUAGCAACGCGAAGGCUAUAUAAUCUGUGGGGUCGAGAUCACUGUGGAACAUGAUCAUGGGGGCCGGCGAGCGGAGCUGGUCAGCGGCGGCAGCGGCAGCUGCGUCGAAGCAGCUCGAGGAUUGGAGUUGGAGGUCAACAAUGGCGGCAACUGUGAGGGGGGACAGGAUGUCUCGUGCAUUACUUUUGUGGUUGGGAUGUACAGUAGUUAUUUCAUUUUCAACCCAUCUACCUCGAUUACAAGUUGUCAUGUAAGCCAAUCUUCUUGAAAGUGAAAGCUUUGGAGGAAUAGAGGAGCUCAUCAAGGCCACAAAAGAAAGCAUGUUGUAGAUCACCAUUCAGCAGCCCAUUCGUUGAUGAUAAUUACUCUCUCCGUGGCUA